GUGGGGAAUAUUGGACAAUGGGCGAAAGCCUGAUCCAGCCAUGCCGCGUGAGUGAUGAAGGCCCUAGGGUUGUAAAGCUCUUUCACCGGGGAAGAUAAUGACGGUACCCGGAGAAGAAGCCCCGGCUAACUUCGUGCCAGCAGCCGCGGUAAUACGAAGGGGGCUAGCGUUGUUCGGAAUUACUGGGCGUAAAGCGCACGUAGGCGGAUCAGUCAGUUAGGGGUGAAAUCCCGGGGCUCAACCCCGGAACUGCCUUUAAUACUGCUGGUCUAGAGUUCGAGAGAGGUGAGUGGAAUUCCGAGUGUAGAGGUGAAAUUCGUAGAUAUUCGGAGGAACACCAGUGGCGAAGGCGGCUCACUGGCUCGAUACUGACGCUGAGGUGCGAAAGCGUGGGGAGCAAACAGGAUUAGAAACCCGUGUAGC
rnacentral:rRNA from 1 species